CAGCAGCCACGGUAAUACGUAGGUGGCAAGCGCUGUCCGGAAUUAUUGGGCGUAAAGCGCACGUAGGCGGUUAUUCAAGUCAGAGGUGAAAGCCCGGGGCUCAACCCCGGAACUGCCUUCGAAACUAGAUGACUGGAAUCUUGGAGAGGUCAGUGGAAUUCCGAGUGUAGAGGUGAAAUUCGUAGAUAUUCGGAAGAACACCAGUGGCGAAGGCGACUGACUGGACAAGUAUUGACGCUGAGGUGCGAAAGCGUGGGGAGCGAACAGGAUUAGAUACCCCAGUAGUCCCUGUCUCUUAUAC
rnacentral:rRNA from 1 species